rnacentral:rRNA from 1 species
GGGGAGUACGGUCGCAAGACCGAAACUCAAAGGAAUUGACGGGGGCCUGCACAAGCGGUGGAGCAUGUGGUUUAAUUUGAUACAACGUGCAAAACCUUACCAACCCUUGACAUAUGAACAACAAAACCUGUCCUUAACAGGAUGGUACUGACUUUCAUACAGGUGCUGCAUGGCUGUCGUCAGCUCAUGUCAUGAGAUGUUUGGUCAAGUCCUGUAACGAGCGAAACCCUCGUUUUGUGUUGCUGAGACAUGCGCCUAAGGAGAAAUUUCCACCGAGUGACGUGCCAGCGCUACUACUUGAUUGAGUGCCAGCACGUAGCUGUGCUUUCAGCAAGAAUUUCACCAUUGGGAGCCGGUGCCUUCCCAAGCAGUUUCAGGUGUGAAACGAAGUCUUCUUGCCCAAGACCCACGGAGACCUACCUAUAGUGACGUCAAAGUACCAGUGAGCAUGGAGGUUCGGUUGAAAUUGGUUACGACGACGUCGACUUGGCGGCGGAGGAAGACUCGGCAUAAAGGCCAGAAAAUGGUGUGUAAUGUAGUGGUAAUACUACGCACCCCGCUCCGAAUCAAAGAAAAAAGUGCGUGCCGCACUCACGAGUGAUUACCAGUGAGAUACUGGAGGAAGGUGGGGAUGACAUCAAGUCCGCAUGGCCCUUAUGGGCUGGGCCACAAACGUGCUACAAUGGCAAUGAUAAUGGGAAGCAAGGCUGUAAGGCGGAGCGAAUCCAGAACGAUUGCCUCAGUUCGGAUUGUUCUCCGCAACUCGGGAACAUGAAGUUGAAAUUGCUAGUAAUCGUGGAUCAGCAUGCCGCGGUGAAUAUGUACCCGGGCCCUACACACACCGCCCGUCACACCCUGGGAAUUGGUUUCGCCCGAAGCAUCGGACCAAUGAGCACCCAUGACUUCUAUGUACCACUAGUGCCACAAAGGCCUUUGGUGGUCUUAUUGGCGCAUACCACGGUGGGGUCUUCGACUGGGGUGAAGUCGUAACAAGGUAGCCGUAGGGGAACCUGUGGCUG